GCCAGGCACAGUGGCGCUUGCCUGUAAUCCCAGUUUAGGGGGCUGAGGCAGGAGAAUUUUGAGUUCAAGCCAGCCUCAGCAACUCAGUGAGGCCCUAAGCAACUUAGUGAGACCCUAUCUCUA
rnacentral:sRNA from 1 species